rnacentral:rRNA from 1 species
GCAAGUCGAGCGUGAAAGCACUUCGGCGUGAGUAGAGCGGCGGACGGGUGAGUAACGCGUAGGAAUCUACCUAGUAGUGGGGGACAACAUGUGGAAACGCAUGCUAAUACCGCAUACGCCCUAUGGGGGAAAGCGUGGGACCUUCGGGCCACGUGCUAUUAGAUGAGCCUGCGUAAGAUUAGCUAGUUGGUGGGGUAAUGGCCUACCAAGGCGACGAUCUUUAGCUGGUUUUAGAGGAUGAUC